rnacentral:lncRNA from 1 species
ACCCACAGUGCACAGAAACCUGUAGGGUCUUUUUGGUCCAGGCAGAGGAAUAGCAGGACACCUUGGUACAGCAGCCUGGGGCUUCCUUCCUCGUUUCUCCUUUCGUGGUUCUUGCAAAGGUGUGAAGCCCAGACGACCAGUUAGCUCGAAGCUCAGAAGAUGAGCUAGUUCCACCUCUGUCUUUGGAGAGCUCUCCUGAAGACUGGCACAGCUUGAACUAGAGGUUGCAUGAGGGCUCCAUGGUGCAUCCUCGCCAGCAGACCCAAGAGUAGAGUCGUCUUUGCCGUAGCUGUGAGAGCUGGAGCGACUAAAGCCACGGGAGUGCUUCCAGGGAUACACUUGGGCAUUCACAUCCAAGUGGUUUGGGAUUCUCCAGCUGGCCAUGAGCUAUGCAACCCUACCAAAGACACACGGUCCUCUUCUCUGCUCCACUUAAGACAGAUAACAGCAGAAAGCAAGCUAGCACUAAGCAUCAUUUAGAAGGCUAUAAAACUGGAUAUUCUCCAGAUGCCCAGGCAUUUACCAACAUCAGCUCCUGACACGACAGUGGAAGAGGGCAGAGGAGAGGCCGCUCGCAUCAUAGCAUCAUCUCUCAAGCUUGUAUUAACAAAUGUGUCUUGUUACCACCCAAUGGCGU